rnacentral:rRNA from 1 species
CAACUUCUGAAUGUUGACCUCGGAUCAGGUAGGAAUACCCGCUGAACUUAAGCAUAUCAAUAAGCGGAGGAAAAGAAACCAACAGGGAUUGCCCUAGUAACGGCGAGUGAAGCGGCAACAGCUCAAAUUUGAAAUCUGGCUCUCGGGCCCGAGUUGUAAUUUGUAGAGGAUACUUUUGAUGCGGUGCCUUCCGAGUUCCCUGGAACGGGACGCCAUAGAGGGUGAGAGCCCCGUCUGGUUGGAUGCCAAAUCUCUGUAAAGUUCCUUCGACGAGUCGAGUAGUUUGGGAAUGCUGCUCUAAAUGGGAGGUAUAUGUCUUCUAAAGCUAAAUACCGGCCAGAGACCGAUAGCGCACAAGUAGAGUGAUCGAAAGAUGAAAAGCACUUUGAAAAGAGAGUUAAAAAGUACGUGAAAUUGUUGAAAGGGAAGCGUUUAUGACCAGACUUGGGCUUGGUUAAUCAUCUGGGGUUCUCCCCAGUGCACUUUUCCAGUCCAGGCCAGCAUCAGUUUUCCCCGGGGGAUAAAGACUUCGGGAAUGUGGCUCUCUUCGGGGAGUGUUAUAGCCCGUUGUGUAAUACCCUGGGGGGGACUGAGGUUCGCGCAUCUGCAAGGAUGCUGCGUAAUG